UACGGGGGGGGCAAGCGUUGUUCGGAAUUACUGGGCGUAAAGGGCUCGUAGGCGGCCAACUAAGUCGGACGUGAAAUCCCUCGGCUUAACCGGGGAACUGCGUCCGAUACUGGAUGGCUUGAGAUCGGGAGAGGGAUGCGGAAUUCCAGGUGUAGCGGUGAAAUGCGUAGAUAUCUGGAGGAACACCGGUGGCGAAGGCGACAUCCUGGACCGACACUGACGCUGAGGAGCGAAAGCCAGGGGAGCAAACGGG
rnacentral:rRNA from 1 species